rnacentral:rRNA from 1 species
GACGAACGCUGGCGGCGUGCUUAACACAUGCAAGUCGAACGGAAAGGCCCUGCUCUUGCUGGGUGCUCGAUUGGCGAACGGGUGAGUAACACGUGAGUAACCUGCCCUUGACUUUCUGAUAACUUCAGGAAACUGCGGCUAAUACCGGGUAGGAUCUCCUGCUUCACAGUGGUCGUUGGUAAGUUUCGGCGGUUCGGGAUCGACUCGCGGCUUAUCAGCUUGUUGGUGGGGUAGUGGCUUACCAAGGCUUUGACGGGUAGCCUGCCUGAGAGGGUGAACGGCCACAAUGGGACUGAGAUACGGACCAGAAUCCUACGGGAGGCAGCAGUGGGGAAUAUUGCAGAAUGGGCGGAAGCCUGAUGCAGCAACGCCGCGUGCGGGAUGACGGCCUUCGGGUUGUAAACCGCUUUCGAAUGUGCCGAAGCGUGAGUGACGGUAAUGGGUAAAGAAGCCCCGGCUAACUACGUG